UACGAAGGGGGCUAGCGUUGCUCGGAAUCACUGGGCGUAAAGGGUGCGUAGGCGGGGCUUUAAGUCAGGGGUGAAAUCCGGCAGCUCAACUGUCGAAGUGCCCUUGAUACUGAUGAGCUCGAGGGAGGUAGGGGUAUGUGGAACUUCCGGUGGAGCGGUGAAAUGCGUUGAUAUCGGAAGGAACGCCGGUGGCGAAAGCGACGUACUGGACCUCUUCUGACGCUGAGGCGCGAAAGCUAGGGGAGCAAACGGG
rnacentral:rRNA from 1 species